UACGGAGGGGGCUAGCGUUGUUCGGAAUUACUGGGCGUAAAGCGCGCGUAGGCGGACCUGCAAGUCGGGGGUGAAAGCCCGAGGCUCAACCUCGGAACUGCCUUCGAUACUGCUGGUCUCGAGUCCGGGAGAGGUGAGUGGAAUUCCUAGUGUAGAGGUGAAAUUCGUAGAUAUUAGGAAGAACACCAGUGGCGAAGGCGGCUCACUGGCCCGGUACUGACGCUGAGGCGCGAAAGCGUGGGGAGCAAACAGG
rnacentral:rRNA from 1 species